ACUUAAUUUGUAUUAUAGACUUUGCCUCAUUGAUGAUGCGCACGGCCUCGGAUGAGUGGAGCUAUAUAUUAUUUGAUAAAGGAUUAUUAGUAAAAAUAUUAACCUUAGUCAAUCAAUGGUUUAUGGUAAUAGCAAAUACUAUAUAAUAUAAGCUUUACGAAAUACGAAUUAUCAGUAGUGAAUAAGUGUUCAUUAUUUCAUCUUGAUAACAUUAAAUAUUCCUGUUUAAGAUUAAAUAAUACCAAUUACUUUAUAAUUUCACCUUUACACUAUUUUAAAAUUGUAACCUACACGUUACACUUCACGUUUUGGUGGCUUCGUAAAGUAUAAAUAUUUAAAAAAAUGACUGGUAAAGUAAUUUCAGUUUACGAAAGUACUCAAAAGUUGGGUGCUGAACUGGCGAAAAAUCUCUCUGAACUAGCCAAUGAUGUAUUAGCUGAAGGAGGAAAUGCGGUUUUCAAAAUUGGACUCUCUGGUAUAACAAAAAUAUUAGUAUAUUUUAUGAGAAAUAUAUGGUUUUUAACUCUUAUUUUUCAGGUGGAUCAGUAGUUUCAUUAUUAUCUGAAUAUUUAGCCAAAGUUGAAACUGACUGGUCAAAAUGGAGAUUUUUCUUUUGUGAUGAAAGACUAGUGAAUUUUAACGAUCCAGAAUCUACAUAUGCUCAAUAUAAGGACAAAUUUCUCACAAGUCUUCCCAUAACUGAAGACCAAUUUAUUAAAAUCAACCCUGAGUUAUCUGGUAAACUAUGGCAGGUGCAAGCUUGUUGUACAUAUUGAUGUUGGUCAAUAAAUAAUUUUUUGAUUUGUAGUUGAUGAAGCAGCAAAAGAUUACAUCCAAAAAAUGUCUGUUUAUUUUGCACCUUAUGACUUGCCUCGUUUUGAUGCAUUGAUAUUGGGUGUAGGUCCUGAUGGUCAUACAUGUUCUCUGUUCCCUGGACACAAAUUAUGUGAAGAAACAUCAGUGUGGGUCGCUCCCAUUUCUGAUUCACCCAAACCUCCAUCAAACAGAAUUACUUUUACAUUCCCAAUCCUAAAUAAUGCAAGGUACUGUGCUUUUAUAGCUAUUGGGAGCUCUAAAGCUGAUAUCUUAAAGGUAUGAAUCCAAAUUAAAACAUAUACAAGAUUUAGGUACAACUCAUUAGUAACAUUUUGACGGUGUUUUGUUAAAGGGGUUCUAUAAAAUUUCACUUUUUUUCAGGAAGUAAACAAACAGUUUUUAAUGAUGUUUAUCAUGGAAAAACAAUAAAAUUACUCAUACUCAUAAUACUUUGUAUACAAAGUAUACAUGCAUUGAAUGUGGUAUAUACCCUUUUAACAAAUCAGUGUUUAUUUAAUUAUAUUUUAAAGGAACCUCUGGAUAUCUUG
rnacentral:lncRNA from 1 species